UCCCUGGUGGUCCAGUGGCUAAGACUCCAGUGCUUUCACUGCUGAGGGUCCAGGUUCAAUUCCUGCUCAGAGAA
rnacentral:tRNA from 1 species